AUGUACCAUCUGAUUGCUCUGGACCCAUCCUUAAAUCAGAAAUUCUUUGUCUCACAGUUCAUCAUCGGUCUCAAGGAUGAGGUCCGCACAGGAGUGCGCCUGCACGCGCCGACGAGCGUUUCCAGGGCAGCGGCACUUGCUCGGAUUCAGGAGGAAGAAUCUGAACACAGUAAGUCACGGGGUCGCCCACCGGUGUAUACUCGCGCCAUUCCUCCACCCCCGGUGCUUGCAAUGGCUCCUGGACCAGUACAACCCCGCAUUGAUGGUGCUAAGCGCGGCCCGGAUGAUUUUGGCCGUGAACGACAACUGCGGGAAUUCAGGCGAGCCAUUGGCCUGUGUUUUAAGUGCGGCGAUAAGUAUUCCCGGGAACACAAGUGUAACAAGGUGGGUCAGCUUCUGACCAUUGAGGUUGGCGAUCAUGGUGAGCUUCUAUCGGAUGAUGCCAUACGUGCUCUGGAGUUGCUGGAUGAAAAUACAGAAGAAGAAGCAGUUUGCUGUCAAAUUUCCAUGCAUGCCGUCGCGGGAACGGAGUCGUCGGGUACAAUGAGGUUAAGAGCAUUAGUUGGCAAUCAGGUAAUGUUGUUGCUGGUGGAUUCGGGCAGUACCCACACGUUUGUGAAUUCAGCGUUUGUAGAGCGUGCCGGUUGUAAAAUUCAGGACGUCGAUCCUGUCAUAGUGAGGGUAGCCAACGGAGAAACCCUGCAGUCCAAGCAACAAGUGUCUCAAUUACAGUGGUGGUGUCAGGGCCACACUUUCAACACUGAUAUGCGGUUGCUUGAGCUUGGCGCUUAUGAUGCAGUUUUGGGAGUCAAUUGGCUCGCUCAAUUCAGUCCUAUGAACUGUCAUUGGGGACUCAAAACCAUGGAAUUCAGACAAGCCAAUAUGAACAUCAAGUUGCAGGGCGUGCGUACUCCGACAGAGCCUGCACUUACUGAGAUGCAUGCGGAUCAGCUGUAUAAAUGGAUUCAGGGCAAUGAAGUGUGGGCACUUGCAGUCAUUCAACAGGAACAAAAAUCCGAGUCCUCUGAUGACUCCAGGCCUCCUCAGUUACAAGCACUUCUGGAAGAAUUUGCUGACAUUUUUCAGGAACCAACCACGCUACCGCCACAUCGUGAGUUUGAUCAUGCAAUUCAUCUCACGCCCGGUUCCUCUCCACCCAAUGUCAGACCGUAUCGCUACUCGCCAUUGCAGAAGGAUGAAAUUGAACGCCAGGUUGUAGAGAUAUUAAAAGCUGGCCUCAUCACCACGAGCAUCAGUCCCUUUGCUGCCCCGGUGCUACUAGUAAAGAAGAAAGACGGUACCUGGCGUUUCUGUAUCGAUUAUCGUCGGCUAAAUGACAUCACUAUAAAGAACAAGUUCCCAUUGCCGGUCAUUGACGAGCUACUUGACGAAUUGGCUGGUGCACGUUUUUUCUCCAAAAUUGAUCUACGGGCGGGCUACCAUCAAAUUUGGAUGCGCCCUGAGGAUGAACCAAAAACAGCAUUCAAGACCCACCAUGGCCAUUUCCAGUUUCGCGUGAUGCCAUUCGGGGUGACGAAUGGACCACCAACUUUUCAGUGCUUGAUGAAUUUCGUCCUUUCACCAACAACGCGUAAGUUUGUCAUCGUUUUCCUGGACGACAUAUUGACUUACAGCCCCUCAUUUGAUGAGCACUUAUAG
rnacentral:rRNA from 1 species